GCCCCGUUCGUCUAGCGGCCUAGGACGCCGCCCUCUCACGGCGGUAACACCGGUUCAAAUCCGGUACGGGGUACGA
rnacentral:tRNA from 5 species